GGCCCGGUCCUUUUCAGGACCACCAAAAAUUCAUAGAGAUGCAUA
rfam:Drosophila pseudoobscura pseudoobscura strain MV2-25 chromosome 2, whole genome shotgun sequence.